UACGAAGGGUGCAAACGUUGCUCGGAAUUAUUGGGCGUAAAGCGCACGUAGGCGGCUUUGCAAGUCGGAUGUGAAAUCCCUCGGCUCAACCAAGGAAGUGCAUCCGAAACUGCAGAGCUUGAGUACUUAAGAGGAUCGCGGAAUUCCCGGUGUAGAGGUGAAAUUCGUAGAUAUCGGGAGGAACACCAGUGGCGAAGGCGGCGAUCUGGGAAGAUACUGACGCUGAGGUGCGAAAGCGUGGGGAGCAAGCAGG
rnacentral:rRNA from 1 species